CCUUAUAUGAUGAAAAACAAAAGCGACUGAACAGAUUUGAUGAGUCUCACAAUUUCACCAAGAUCUCUGAUGAG
rfam:Plasmodium knowlesi strain H chromosome 12, complete genome